rnacentral:rRNA from 1 species
UACGUAGGGUGCAAGCGUUAAUCGGAAUUACUGGGCGUAAAGCGUGCGCAGGCGGUUUUGUAAGUUUGUUGUGAAAGCCCCGGGCUCAACCUGGGAAUGGCGAUGAAGACUGCAAGGCUAGAGUGUGUCAGAGGGGGGUAGAAUUCCACGUGUAGCAGUGAAAUGCGUAGAGAUGUGGAGGAACACCGAUGGCGAAGGCAGCCCCCUGGGUUAACACUGACGCUCAGGCACGAAAGCGUGGGGAGCAAACAGG